AUGCCCUUUUGCCUCGAGAUGUUGGAACAGUGCAAAGGUCAACUGGAUUCAGGGGAACAGCCUUAUUCAAGCCCGGUGCGCGGUGAACUGGAACAUUUGGCAAUGGACUCCGAAGUGUGCCAUCCAGGUGACCAAAUAGCCAAUGCGCUCCUGCACCUGCUGUUGAUGCUGAGGGGCGGUACCCUACUGUUACUUCUGCCAGAGCUCCAUGCGACGUCCACGGAUCAUUGUAACACAAAGCCAAGACAUAAUGCUCUCCAAUACCAUGGUGUUAUGGCUCCUUCAUUUGAGAGCCUAUCCCACGCCAGUAGGAGCUUGAGGACCGGCCAGACGCUAGCGGAAGUGUCAUCACCGGCAAACAGAUACGGGAAGAUAACAGACUCAAACCAUGGUGAUUGCUUCCUUAUGUGA
rnacentral:rRNA from 1 species